UACGUAGGGUGCAAGCGUUAAUCGGAAUUACUGGGCGUAAAGCGUGCGCAGGCGGUUCUGUAAGUCUGUCGUGAAAUCCCCGGGCUUAACCUGGGAAUUGCGAUGGAGACUGCAAGGCUAGAAUCUGGCAGAGGGGGGUAGAAUUCCACGUGUAGCAGUGAAAUGCGUAGAGAUGUGGAGGAACACCGAUGGCGAAGGCAGCCCCCUGGGUCAAGAU
rnacentral:rRNA from 1 species